rnacentral:rRNA from 1 species
UACGGGGGGGGGCAAGCGUUGUUCGGAAUUACUGGGCGUAAAGGGCGCGUAGGCGGCCUUCUAAGUCGAACGUGAAAUCCCCGGGCUCAACCCGGGAACUGCGUCCGAUACUGGGAGGCUUGAAUCCGGGAGAGGGAUGUGGAAUUCCAGGUGUAGCGGUGAAAUGCGUAGAUAUCUGGAGGAACACCGGUGGCGAAGGCGGCAUCCUGGACCGGUAUUGACGCUGAGGCGCGAAGGCUAGGGGAGCAAACGGG